rnacentral:rRNA from 1 species
GGCGCGGGCCGUGUGGCCACCCCAUCGUGGGUGCCGCCGCGCGACCGUGCCAUCCUCGUGGGGAAGGCCCGUGCCGUUCACUCGGUGCGGGUCGGACUCACGUCCUUUACUGUGAAAAAAUUAGAGUGUUUAAAGCAGGCUUCACGCUUGAAUACAUUAGCAUGGAAUAAUGAGAUAGGACUUCGGUGCUAUUUUGUUGGUUGCGUACCGAGGUA